UAGGAGAUGGUGUAGUGGGAGCACAAAGAGUCUUGGUCUCUUGAGUAGGGGUUCGAGUCCCCUUUUUCUAA
rnacentral:tRNA from 2 species